UCAGGUGAUUUCUCAAAGACAAGGAUAACCUAAGUUAAUUCAGGGUCUUGUCUCGCCCUUUUCCUGGACUCCACCCUAACACAUACAGUGCUUCUCUUCUCUGUUUUCAAAAGUGGAUUUUCUUACUCUACCCUAAAAGCAUUAUUUCUGUAGCUGCUAUGAAAACUUCAAACCAGUUAUUCAUUCAAGGAUAGAAACACGAAGCUGCUGCAUCAAGAAGCAAAUUCCGGAGUGGAAUUGUGGGCUCCUUGUACCUAAGCUCCAUGUACCUACCUUCACUUGUGGGCCCAGGCCAACGAGAAAGUACAUCCAACUCUCUAGUACUUGUUCAGUUCCUAAAAUAUGCACACGCUCUCCCCAGU
rnacentral:lncRNA from 1 species